CGGGAAGAGCUCAAAUUUAAAAUCUGGCAGUCUUUUUGGCUGUCCGAGUUGUAAUUUAGAGAAGUGUUGCCCGCGCUGGACCAUAUACAAGUCCUCUGGAAUGGGGUGUCAUAGAGGGUGAGAAUCCCGU
rnacentral:rRNA from 1 species